rnacentral:lncRNA from 1 species
GGGAUUUAAGUCAUAAUCAUUUAUUGUCAUCCAACUGGAGCAUUGAUUUGUCUGUUCAUACACUACAAGAAGUGAAAAUGAAUUACAAUGAGCUAAGUGAAAUUCCAUAUUUUGGAGAAACAACUUCAAACAUAACUCUUCUCUCCUUGGUACACAAUACCAUCCCCGAAAUAAAUGCUGAGCAACUCCAAGUUUAUCUUUCAUUGGAAAAUCUAGAUCUCAGUUCUAAUCUUAUCUCGGAAAUUAAGGCUUCUUCUUUUCCACGGA